UUCCGUUGAUGUAGACGGCGUGAAAACGGAAACAACAAGUAUGCCGGCUCACUGUGCUGCAUACAAUUACACACUACGUCGUACGAUUGAGACAAGGAAACUUGGAAUGACUUUUCAUAGGUUUCCCAGAGACUAUGGGUUGAGGAGGAAUUGGAAGUUUGUCGGCUUAGACCUGGUGUCAUUCCAUCAGUGUUAAACUUCUCGGCUCAUCUUGGAAGAGUACGUGCCAGAAAGACCACGACCAAGCAGCCUUGAGAUCUUAGGCAGCGUCUCCCUGAGGUCCCUCUCUAUCUCCCCACACAUCCACCAACCACUGGAACACAUCUCCAAAGUUCUGCUGGACCAGCUCAGCUUCCCCUCAGAAGAAGUGCUGCCAGAUGAAGGAGCCUUUUGAGAGGCAGCUGGCAUCGUGAUUGGACUGUACUUUGGUCUGUUCCAAUCCAGCUUCAGCUCCAGAGACGGCAGGCGGGACGAGUCAACGGAGGCCGGGUGGACGAAGGCAUGAAGCUGAGUACAAUACAGAAAACAACAGAGGAGGAGUGCAUCAGCCCAGGACCAGAACAACCAGAGUAGCAUGACCAAAGAACUACAGACUCUUCACAACCUGCUCAAACUCUUGGUACAGGACCUCACCACACGGGUCAAGAAGGUUUCCUUCUCCUCAUUUCUACUCUGAAGCUCACCUUCUCCUGCUCAAGCUGCUGACAAAUGUUUCUGCUGCUCUAAAGUCUGCUCUCCAGAACUUCCUAAAAACUCUCAAAGUCUCUUCUGCUGCAGGUUGCUUUGUAGAACUGUUCCAGAAAACCUCAUUAAACCACAUGGAGGGGCCUCAAGAUAGUUGUCCAAAUGAAACCAUACAAAAACCAAACUAGCACAACACAAACACUAAAGUCUCCUGCAGCCUACCAGAGAACCUCUGAGAACAGAGAAUCAGGACAGGAACUCUUACCUUCUGGACAACCAACGCUGGUUCACAAACAAGAAUACAGAAUGUGUCUGACCAAAAACCUCUGAAGACUCACUACAGCCAAGAUAAAGACACAACUCAGCUGCACCAAAUCCACUAAUCACUGCACACAUUAGCACCAUGUGCUAACUGUGGCUAAAGAACCACAUUUACCAAGACAACUAUCCAGUACAAAGCCCUAAAACACACCAAGAAACACAUUAAAGAUGAUUUUACUGCUGGAAGCUGCAAGCCAACGUCUAAAGAACAAACUAAAGCAAUGGAACCAAACCCAGUUCAGUGGUGAAGAGAAGCAGAGGAAAUGUUUGUCUGCAGCUAAAUAAAGCAGGAAGACACUGAGCUGCUCAGGUGUUCCUGAUAACACCAAGCUGCUCAGGUGUUCCUGAUAACACCAAGCAGCCACCUGGACAGCCAAUAGGAACACAGCUUCCUGGAAGUCCAGAGGGCUGGCUUAGUCAAGGAAAUUUAAAGUUGAAGCAGAAAGUUAACAAAGAAAGUUGAAAACCACCUUCUGAUACCUGAAAUCUCUGAGUUUUCACACAAAGAACACCUGAACAUGUCAAACUGGUUCCAUAGUAGAACCCUCAUUGUAAAAACAUCAUAGUAUGGUGUGUUGCUCCAAAAACAUUAGGACCCGGCUGUCAGGGGACAAACAUGUAAGAAACAUGAGAACAGAGAGAACCCAACCAGUAGGUCACAGUUUAUCAUCAUCUAAUCAUCUCCCGAAGUCCAUAUGGUGAGAGACAUCAGUAUCUGGUUGUUAAUUUACCAGAGGAUGCUUAUAAUCAUGCUGAUGUGGUCUGUACUCUACAGUAUUUUAGUGACUCAAUA